UUCAAAACAAUCAGGGCAAUAGACUCAGCCUCUUUUCUGCAAAUAAUUCUCCCAUUUUGAUAAUCAUAAUUCUCUUCUAAUGUUGGGUCGUCUGUGAUCCCCAGAUCCCCCGACCAAAAUCGGGAUGCCUCGAGGUUCGACCGUAGAGUCCCAAACUCCCUCGACCUCGGGAAGUAUCGCAGGACGAUGGAACAUCGACUUGGCGCAAGAUUCCCUCGACUAAGGUCGGGAUGCCCCGAGGGUCGACCGUAGAGUCCCAAACUCCCUCGACCUCGGGAAGCGUCGCAGGUCGAUAGCGCGUGCCCAGACCCAUCGACCUGACGAACGAUCCCUCGACUAAGGUCGGGAUGCCCCGAGGGUCGACCGUAAAGUCCCAAACUCCCUCAACCUCGGGAAGCGUCGCAGGUCGAUAGCGCGUGCCCAGACCCAUCGACCUGACGAACGAUCCCUCGACUAAGGUCGGGAUGCCCCGAGGGUCGACCGUAGAGUCCCAAACUCCC
rnacentral:lncRNA from 1 species